CCUACGGGAGGCAGCAGUAAGGAAUAUUGGUCAAUGGACGCAAGUCUGAACCAGCCAUGCCGCGUGAAGGAUGAAUGCCCUCUGGGUUGUAAACUUCUUUUAUAGGGGACGAAAAAGGGUCUUUUAGAUCAACUGACGGUACCCUAGGAAUAAGCACCGGCUAACUCCGUGCCAGCAGCCGCGGUAAUACGGAGGGUGCAAGCGUUAUCCGGAUUUACUGGGUUUAAAGGGUGCGUAGGUGGGUUGGUAAGUCAGCGGUGAAAUCUUCGAGCUUAACUCGGAAACUGCCAUUGAUACUAUCAGCCUUGAAUAUCCUGGAGGUGAGCGGAAUAUGUCAUGUAGCGGUGAAAUGCUUAGAUAUGACAUAGAACACCAAUUGCGAAGGCAGCUCACUACGGGAUUAUUGACACUGAGGCACGAAAGCGUGGGGAUCAAACAGGAUUAGAUACCCUGGUAGUCCACGCCCUAAACGAUGGAUACUCGACAUUUGCGAUAUACAGUAAGUGUCUGAGCGAAAGCAUUAAGUAUCCCACCUGGGAAAUACGAUCGCAAGAUUGAAACUCAAAGGAAUUGACGG
rnacentral:rRNA from 1 species